GAUGAACGCUGGCGGCGUGCCUAAUACAUGCAAGUCGAGCGAACAGACGAGGAGCUUGCUCCUCUGACGUUAGCGGCGGACGGGUGAGUAACACGUGGAUAACCUACCUAUAAGACUGGGAUAACUUCGGGAAACCGGAGCUAAUACCGGAUAAUAUAUUGAACCGCAUGGUUCAAUAGUGAAAGACGGUUUUGCUGUCACUUAUAGAUGGAUCCGCGCCGCAUUAGCUAGUUGGUAAGGUAACGGCUUACCAAGGCAACGAUGCGUAGCCGACCUGAGAGGGUGAUCGGCCACACAGGAACUGAGACACGGUCCAGACUCCUACGGGAGGCAGAAGUAGGGAAUCUUCCGCAAUGGGCGAAAGCCUGACGGAGCAACGCCGCGUGAGUGAUGAAGGUCUUCGGAUCGUAAAACUCUGUUAUUAGGGAAGAACAAAUGUGUAAGUAACUAUGCACGUCUUGACGGGACCUAAUCAGAAAGCCACGGCUAACUACGU
rnacentral:rRNA from 1 species